GUUCAACCUUCACUCGCUUACUAGGGUCUUCUGAGAAAGAAGAUCCAUCUGGAUGCUUGGGAUCAACACUACCAGCAGAAGCAUGACUCAAUCCAUCGGCAUUUUGACCAGUCCCAUCAUUAGCAGGUACUAUUUUCAUUUCACUUUGUCUUUGUCGUUCCCAGUUCACAACCAACCCAGCAAGUUCAAUUGCAAGUCGUCUAUUUUCAGCCGUAGUAUUAUAUGGCAAUCCCAGGCGACUCAGAGAGUUAACCAUCUGAGGUACAAACUGUGCUCUACAACUGUAGAAUAGAUCUGAAUGGCGAACUAUGAGCUGGAAUAUGUGGAUGAGAUUAGGGAUAGAGUGACCCUCCUCGACGAGAAUCUUUUUGGUGUAACGAAUCCAGAUAGGCAUACGGGAAUCACCAAGAGGUAACCUUCUUGGAAGUGCUGGCAUGAGUAUAUCAAGUGCUUGUUUAACCAACAUUUU
rnacentral:misc_RNA from 1 species